CCUACGGGAGGCAGCAGUGGGGAAUAUUGGGCAAUGGCGGAAACUCUGACCCAGCAACGCCGCGUGAAUGAUGAAGGUCUUCGGAUUGGAAAGUUCUUUUCUUAGGGAAGUAGAAAGUGCCGGUACCUUAGGAAUAAGCCUCGGCUAAGUACGUGCCAGCAGCCGCGGUAAUACGUAGGAGGCGGGCGUUAUCCGGAAUGACUUGGCGUAAAGGGUGCGUAGGUGGGUUGGCAAGGUAGUAGCGUAACUCCAAGGCUCAACCUUGGAACUACUACUAAAACUGUUGGACUUGAGUGCAGGAGGGGCAAGCGGAAUUCCUAGUGUAGCGGUGGAAUGCGUAGAUAUUAGGAGGAACACCAGUGGCGAAGGCGGGUUGCUGGACUGCAACUGACGCUGAGGCACGAAAGCGUGGGGAGCAAACAGGAUUAGAUACCCUGGUAGUC
rnacentral:rRNA from 1 species